rnacentral:rRNA from 1 species
GACGUAGGGCGCGAGCGUUGUCCGGAUUUAUUGGGCGUAAAGAGCUCGUAGGCGGUGUGUCGCGUCGGCCGUGAAAACCUGCAGCUUAACUGUGGGCGUGCGGUCGAUACGGGCAUCACUGGAGUUCGGCAGGGGAGACUGGAAUUCCUGGUGUAGCGGUGAAAUGCGCAGAUAUCAGGAGGAACACCGGUGGCGAAGGCGGGUCUCUGGGCCGAUACUGACGCUGAGGAGCGAAAAGCGUGGGGGAGCGAAACAGG